rnacentral:rRNA from 1 species
UUCGUAGGCGGUGUGGCAAGUUGGGAGUGAAAUCUUUGGGCUUAACUCAGAGGCUGCUUCCAAAACUGCUGUGCUUGAGUGUGGGAGAGGCGCGUGGAAUUGCAGGUGUAGCGGUGAAAUGCGUAGAUAUCUGCAGGAACACCCGUGGCGAAAGCGGCGCGCUGGACCACUACUGACGCUGAGGAACGAAAGCUAGGGGAGCAAACAGGAUUAGAUACCCUGGUAGUCCUAGCCCUAAACGAUCGGGACUUGGGGUGCCGCACGUUCGUGCGUCGUCCCGGAGCUAACGCGUUAAGUCCCGCGCCUGGGGAGUACGGUCGCAAGACUGAA